CCAGAUCUCUAUCGUUUCUUACGGUAAAGAAAAACCUGCAGUGCUGGGCCACGACGAGUCAGCGUAUGCUAAAAACCGUCGUGCCGUACUGGUAUACUAAGAGAGUCACAUGAUUAGUAGCUUCAGAACUCAUCUUCUG
rnacentral:sRNA from 1 species